ensembl:lncRNA
CAGGUACUUUCGCUUUCUGCUCCGCGGCCGCCGCCGCGUUCCCCGCAGCGCCGCCGGGCUCCGCGACCUCAGCGCGGCGAGGUGAGCGGCUGGCGGGCCGCCAGGGGAGGAGGCAUCCCCGCUCCGCCACGGGGCCGGGAGCAGAACGGAGAGCCGCGGAGGGACGGAGCGGGCGGAUGGCGGCCGUCGGGGUUCCCUGGAGCGGGGGUUACAUAGGGCCCCGGUUACACGCCCAGCGCCGGGUGCGCGGCCAGGGACAGAAGGAUGGACCUUGGCAGUGCGCGUGGAAAAAGCCGCUCAUUCGCGGGAAGGAAAUCUUGGAGGGGGUGAAGAAAAAAAAAAAAAAAAAAAGGAAAAAAAAAAAAACCCAAAACGAAAGCAAUCAGCUUUCGCGGAGCGGCUGCUGCGUCGUGGGGCUGCAGAGCGCUGUCCACGGGUGGGGCGGAGGGGGGUGGGACUGCCCCGGGGCUCCGGCCCAGGUCCGGGUUAGCCGGGCGGCCGCUGUCGGAGCGGAGGAGAGAAGCGAUGGCUUCACCCGGACUGCCGUUGUUCCACACGACGUGAGAAAUCCGGAAGGGUUGAGUUGAAAGCUCUGAAUGGCAGAGGAAAGCGUAGCGUAGAAGCAGUUCGAGUUGUAACAGGCGCGGCCGUAGCUUGGCUUUGUCCUAGGUAAAUUCAGAAUGCAAAAACUGAUGCUUCACUGCACGUGGAAAGGCUUGGAAUAAAAUAGGACAUGAAAUGUCUUUGUCGCGUCCUCUCCCCACCUCCUCCCACGCCACAUACGUUUUCCAACUCGCAGAGCUCUCUCCCUUCUCACACAACUGCUUACCUGAGUAAGGCAGUUGCUACCAGGGUGUGACCACAAGGAAUAAUCAGGAGGACUUGGCUAAGGUGUGCACUGCUCGGGAUGGUUUCCACCCAGUCUCUCUGGAAUUGUUCCACUUUACUCAGGCACCCGUGCCUCUGAGGUACUUGGUACUCGACUUGCAGGGGACUUGUCUCUGCUUUGGGUUGGGUGUUCAUUUCUCACUAGGAUUUCUUUGGAACACAUUUUAAUCCUUGUAUUAUAACAAGAACAAAGAAUGAGGAUGUUUGUCCUCCCGUUCGGCUUUGAGCAAUUUUACUUUAGUAACAGUGGUUUAUCACUAACGCACUGUUUGGGUGCAGUGAUCAGUAAUACCAGCAGAGCUCCAGACGGAUCGCCAGGUCCUGUCAUUGCUCGUUCCCUUUGUAUAUGGCAGGCUGUAUUUGGCAGGUGGCUCCGAUUUUGAAUUUGAAAGAGGAUUUUGUCACCCUAAUAAGUAUCUGAUCGAAUUCUUCAAUGUUUCUUCAGUUGUAACUUUUUAUUAUUAUUAUUAUUAUUUAUUGUCUUCCCACUUCUACCAAACACUGCAUGAAAAUAUCCCUCCGUGCACAUUUACAACAUGCUGUGGAGUAUAAAGCCCAAAUCACACAAGAACACAAGAUCGGCUCUCCUUCCAGGCACACAGUCCUGUUUUCUUAUGGCAGUACACGUGUGCUCACAAAAUGAAGCCUUUUGUGCAGAUGAUAUUAAAUCGUCAGGUUGGAAGAUACACGGGAAGUCCUCCUUAGCUUAGGUUGAACCCUUAGUUGGUUUGGUUACGUUGGUUUUCUGCCUGUCUGAAACGUCAGGCAGACUGAUGGUUGUCCCCAUGUCAACUUAUAGCAAACCUGGUUGUGAUUCCUGGAACAAGUCGGCGUGGCAGCAUUGCAUCGUAGUGGGAUCACGGCUCUGAGAGUUGAUGCGGGAGCAUGGAAUCGGUUCUGUGCUAGUGGCAGGACCCUUGCUGUUCUGUAAGGAGAUGGAGGGUCUGCGCAAUGAACGGGUGUGGAACUUUAGUCAAAAUGACAAAUUUUGAGUGAUGUGAUCUGUUCUUUGGUCCUAUAAUCACAUCUUUAGUUCCAAAUGAAUCCCUGUUCUGUGAGCUAACCCUGGACUGGGGCAUACGCCCAUCAUACAGAUGUUAUUUGAUGUCAUCUGCGGGGAGUGCUUAAAUAUGUACUGAUGAACUAUAACUUUUAUGCCUUUUUAAACAACAUUUUGAAUUGUUACAUACCUUUUGUUUUCAAAACACUUCUAUUAGUGAUAAGGAUUUUUCUCAAGAAAGAUGAUAAAAAAAUUGAAUACAAACCUUCAGAAGAGCACGUUCCAUAGUUGCCUUUUCUUCUUAAGAAUGAGCAGACGCCUCCCAGUUGCAAUUUAAGCAAAGCAUUUGAUAUUGAUUCUCUGAAUAUCGUCUUAAUAGCCAGUUUUAAUCGAGAACUCACGCAAAGAUCCUUGAAGGACUGCUAUGAAAGUUUCCCUGCCCUGAAACCCAGUCUAUAUGACUGACACCAGCCUGCCCGUUCUGCACGGUGCCAGGCUGUAGUAGCGAGCAGCCCCUGUGUGGCAGAACGGAGCUGUGGCCGUGGCUGAGGCUUGGGAAGGGCGGUCACACUGAAAGCCUCCUGUUGGGUUUCUCAGGUGUUAAAUAUCCCACCUCUUUUUAACAGAGCCAUUCAUGGGGCUCUCUGUUUUGAGACAGAUUUGCUGCCUUUCCUCCGUAAAUAUUUUGACCGAGUAACAUUUCAAGUAAGUGACUUCUGGAAAGAAGCAGCCUUAUGUGAGGCAUUAGCACAGACGUAUGCAGGUUUUUCUUUUACUCAGUGUUCAGGGAUAACUUUUAAAACCAUAGAAGAAAAUACUUGAAAUUGCACAGCUGAGAACUGAAAGGCGUUGGUAAUUUUAUCUGUCCGUGGAUGAACACACUCCGUGUACUGAGCAGAACUGUGCAGCAGUUUCUCUAAGCAUUUAAUUUAAUGAUCGAAUUGCCUCCUGACUUGGUAAAAUCUGCUUCUUGGAAGAUCAGCUAUUUUCCACAUUAAUAGCCACCAAUAUGCCAAUAUUCCUGGGUAACGCCAUGAUUGCAAAGCACACGAUUUCUUGUGAAGAUACAAUUAUCAGAAAAAUAAAUAGGCGUGUUUCUGGGAACCUUGCUGUCUUGCUACAGCUGUUGUUUGUCAGUUUGAGCUCUUUUGCUCAUGACUUCAGAUUUGACUUCAGGCUGCUUGCAGACCCGCACAACCAUUAGUGAAUUAUUUUAUUAUUGAAAAAAGUUAGUUGAAAAAUUAUAAAAAAAAAAACACAAAGAUUUUAUUUUAGGACAAAAGGUAAAUGCUGCAGUUGUCACAGGUGAUGAAAUUCAGGAAAGCACGGUCACUUUUGUGAAAGUUUAUUUUAAGAAUGAAUCUGCCUGGUACCUAAAUUGUCCUCGUCAAUUGAGGAAGAUGAGGACAAGCAGAGACGUGUUCCCUCCUCCUCACACCUUCCAAAGAACCCCAAACCACAGAAAGGACCUCAGAUGAACUGCCAUUUGGGGUUAAGUUUGUCGUACACACAAAACUUUCCCUCGUAUUCAGGUUUGGGAAGCUCCUGUCUUCUGUUAUACGUAAGCAAGAAGAAGCCAUCUAACUUUGUUGCACCAGAACACCCAUUUCUUUGAAUUACAGUUGCUGCUUUUUCUGCACAGAUCACUGUCACUGAUUGGAGUGUGUGCUGGAAAAAACAAGUGAAAUGGCUCACACGCUACUUUAAUGCAGAGUUGUCUGCCUUUUUGGAUGUCUAUUUUGUUUGUUUGCUUGAUUUUUUGGGGGUGAGAAUUUAAGAAAAGAAAAUAUUCCUGGAAAAUCUUAAGAUAGGGAUUGGGAAAGUUACAGGAAUUUUUUGUUAAACUGUGGAAAACCUUAUUUCUUGGAUAGAAAGCAUUAAUUUUGUCGUUGUUGUUGUUGUGUGGGUUCAAGAGAAACUUAUGGCACCAAGGACAAGUUGCUAAAUGAUGGGAUGUUGAUAAACCCCCAGUGGGAUGGGGAAGUUUCCUGAGCACAUCACUGCAAAGGCUCUGGAGACUGUAUCUUCGGGGUAGUGCCAGUGGGAAGAGGCUGCUAACUGCUGCCUGCCUGGGCACUGCCACCCAGCUGCAGCCCCAGGGCUGCACCCAUCCUGGGCAUCAGGCAGGCGAGGAGUUACUGGUGUUCCUGCAUGCUGCCAGCCUGGCUGUUGGUAUCCUCACCCCACAUGCAAGAAAUACCCUGAAAUCCCAAGGCUGUCUGCCUGCCAGGGUUGGAGUCAGUGGCUUCAAGCCCAUACUGGGCUUUGGGCUCUCUUGGCCCCUCUGCUAAUGCUCUUCCCUUUGCUCUUGAGUUACCACAGACAUUAUUUGAUGGCAGGUAGGAAGAGAGAUAUGGUAGGAAGAAGGAACUGAUGACCUAACAUCCUUAUUUUAUUUUUUUUAUGAUAGUUCGGUUGCUGCAAAGAUCAGAGAAUCACAGAAUCAUAGGGGACAGAAGGGACCUCUGGAGAUCAUCUAGUCCACCUUCCUGCUAGAGCAGAAUCCCUACAGUAGGUGAUCGAGUUCAACUCCUGACCAAUUCAAGGUUUGCUGAAAUUUAACGCAUGCUAUUGAGGGCAUUAUCCAAAUGCCUCAGAAAUACACUACAAAACUUAAAAUGGAACAUCAAGACUUUCCCGUUCCCCAGCCAUGCAGUUGUGCAACACACUCGGCAGAGGCAGUGGUGACUGGGUAUUGGGGCAGGAUGUGGGCCUGCUCCCUGGGAAAAGAUGUUCCCUAGACAGGAUGUAUACCUGGUUCCCAUGGCAAGAUACAGGCCUGAUCUCCAGGGAACAGGGUGGGCCUAUGCCCGGCCAUUGGGACCCAAGUGCCAGCAAUCUGUCUCUGGCUUUGCCUAUGGGUGAGAAGCAGCUUGCUCUCCACGUUAUUGCUAUGAAAGACUUUCGGUGCAGGUGUCCUGCUAACUGUGUGGAAGUGUCUGAGCUGCCUGAUGGCUGUUUGGUGCCUCAUAGGAGAGUGCUGUGAGUGGGAGAAAGAAAUACUGCAGCCAGGAUAAGCGAUGGAAAGCCUCCUUCUGCUUCAAUGAGCCAUAAAAGAAAGAAAGAAUUGGAGUAAGGUUUCUAUUUUAAUGCAUUUUCUCUUGAUUUUCCUACUUAAAAAAUAAAGUUUUGUAGUAUGUUCUGGGGUCUUUUUUUCCUUUUUUUUUUUUUUUUCCUUUAUGUUUCUUUUUGAUACCAACACCAGUCUUUACAGAUAUCCACCCAUACUGAAAUUACGAAAAUUUCAUAGCAUUUUACAGUCAUGGGAGUUCAUGUGGUUUUGGUUACAUGGUUUUAAGAAUGUUUUCCUAAAAGUAUAAUCAAUUAUAUUUUACUGUUUCUGAGAACUCACACUUCUUCUCUUUUUUACGAUGUUACAUGUACGUGUACAGAGAGGCAUUUUUUUAUUUAUCUCUUUUUCCCUUCCCUUCCCUUCCCUUCCCUUCCCUUCCCUUCCCUUCCCUUCCCUUCCCUUCCCUUCCCUUUCCUUUUAGAAAAUGUGUUUCAGUGAGUAAUAGCCACGAUAAUUUGUCCCAUCAUUUGUUUUUUUCUUUUUCUUCUGCUUUUUUUUUUUUUUUUCUCCUCAAAUCAUUUUUUAUUCUUUCUACCUUCUGUAGUUCAAAGCUUCACUUUGGGACAGGACAGCAACUUUAGUGGAGCCAGAGCAAAAUAAAAUUAUAUAUCUUCAAUUUUCUAGAGCAAGUCCCUUCCCUAGGAAAUAGUUUCAGAAAUGAAAUCUUGGGAGUAUAUUGCAAGACACUCAUGAUUAUUUUCUUGCUUCUGAUGUAAAUUAAUAAAUGCAUAUAUGUGUCCCAUUACAAGCAUUUUGGGAAAUCCUUUUUCCAGUAGAAAUGUUUACUACUACUACUACUACUGGUACUAUUACUACUACUACUAUUAUUAUUAUCCUUAUUACGUACAAUCCUUUCUCUGAAUAAUGCUAAUUUUAGGAAAGAAUAUUCUGUGUCUGUAACAUAUAACAAAAAGCUAACUUCUAACUUCCAACCAACUUCUCCAAGGGUGAAAAUAAAUUUAAACAUCAUUACUUAAAUGUGCUUAAAUCCAUGCACUUUAAAAUAUUCUUUCAAAAUGCUCUCUUUUCUACCAAGCAGCUUCAUUUAUUGCACGACAGAAAAUGAUCUUGAAGAGGACAUCUGUUGCUCACAUUGAUAUAAAAAAUCAAUUGAUAAAAAUACAGUUUUAAAAAGAGAGAUUACUUAUUGUAAAUGUGGACUUUGUGGGCCUAACCCUACAGACACGUGCCUGUUUAGCCCCUAUUUCAGCAUGCCUAACUUACGUGCUUACUCCUAAGCAAAAGUUUUGUUUGCAGGUUUGGAACUUAGCUGAAAAUGGAGCAUCUGCAUUUUGAAGCUUAGAAUAUUUCUGACUUUUUUAUGUCUGUUUGCAGUUACCCUAAAAUACUUGCAAACACGUAUCUCUUUUCAAGAUCCCAUUUACAAAUGUGCCUUUCUUCAUCAUUUGAAGUGAACGGUAGGUAGAUAUGUGCAUAGAAUGAGAGAGGAAUGUAAAGGAGGACACAAAAUUACAGUCAAAAUAUGGUGUGCUAAUGGAAUAUAUCCAAUAAACACCACUCGGAAAGUCAAAGCCAGCGGUGCAUGCUGAGACUUGAAUAUCUUUUUUGUGAGUAUAUUUAAAUAUCACCUGAAGAUGUAGCAAAUGUAUUUCGUAAUUAAGAGCAGUAUACAGAUACUUCAGUUUUUGCUUCAUUGGAAGCAUUUGAAAGGGCUCACUUUGAAACAGUGAGUGAGUAUGUGGGUGCUUAUUCAGUGGUGCUUGAGACCUUCAGCUAAAGUGACAGCACCACAGGUUCUCAGAGAUAUCAGCUGGCCUGAAAUGAAAAUAUGUAAAGAGCUUUACAUUGUUCUCACCUGCAAAAAUGGACCGAAUUCUGAUGUAAAAUCUAAGAGGAAGAAAUGAUUGAUCAGUAGCAGCUUUUUAAUUCUUUUACAUGACAUUCAGAAAUUUUCCUCGAAAUAUUCAACAGUUAAAUUUUUUGAAAUGAUGGUGAAUGACCAAAGCUAAACGUGAUCUCCCAAACUCUUUGGAAACAUUCUAGAAUGCACCACUUUUCUUCGAAGAUUUGAGUCACUUUGAAGGUAAAGUCCUAUAAAACAGGUUCUCUGAAUCAGCAGUUUUUAGACUCAUCUUUUCUAGAAGUAUUGAAGAAAUACACUCUGCACCACUUAUCUCUCGUCCUCGGUUUAUUUGCUUGAUUUCUGGGCCAUACAGUUUUGGGAGGAAAAAAACCCUUGCUAUUAAUUCACAGGCCAUUUCUCAGAAAAAAAAUCCAUAUUGCUGCUGGUUUUAUUUGAUGUAUUUUUAUAUGUCAUGAGAAGUUGUGCCAUUUUCAGUGUGUGUCACACCCAGUGUUUGUUAUCUUGUCUGAAGCAGAUGAUGCCUUUUUUGGUGCCUUUUCCUGUGUAUGGCUAAGAUUAGGGCAUGACUGUGAGCAAGGCAGCAGAAAUGUGUCUAGGUAAGACCACAUGAUUGUGACACUUAAAAGGGAUGAGUGUUGCAGUGGGGUGAAUGUGGGCCUCUGGGAGUUUUUUUCCCCUACUGGCAACCUGUGCUCCUAAAUCAGGAGUGGCUUUAGAAAGCUGUGGAGCUGAUGCAUCUUAUUCCAUGGAGGCAGAGUCCUGUAGAUAUCAUGGCAUCAUAUGCAACAUCUUCAGUUGUUUCCAAGGAGCACCCUAGAAAGUGAUCCCAGUGCCCCACUGUUUUCAUAUUUCUUUUAAGAGCCAUUAAGGCACUGCUUUUACUUCUAGAGCACCCAUACUUGGGGUACUCCUGGGCAAAACAUCAGUCUCAAAUCUAUAUUGCAGCCUUCUUGUAAUUAUUCUGCUGCAACUCAGGAUUCCUUGUCCCCUGGUCUACUUAAAAGGGUCUCGUCUGAAUGUAAACAUCACCCAGCGUUGCUCAUAACACAGCAUGUGAACCUGGGCAAAAACUCUUCCCCAGCUCUUUAUGGAUAUACAUUGUCAGUUCAAAACCUCAAGCAUCUGCUUUCAUGGAUUUGGAGUGGAGCAUUCAGUGGGGCAGAAGCUCAAACUUUGGUCUCCUCCAUUUCCCUGGCAUGUAAACCUCUCCUCCUCUCCAGGAAGAGCCUGUAGGCUAUAAUCAGAGCUCACCAUUAUUAUUAGUUUGGCAGUCAAAAGAUAUGGGACCUUCCUGGGUUUGUGUUUUCAAGAAAAGAGGUUCUAGGGAAGUGAGUCAGAAGGCAAGAUACAGAGAAAGUACCACGUGUUCUACCUCUGGCAAAAGGAAGGAGAACUUUUUACUGACACAAGCUGAAUAAACUAAGCUACCUUGCCUCUUGGCACUUGGAAAUGGUAAACGGAGAAUGUACCCAUAAAAAGUAGCACUCAACAUCUCACUGUGGUAUGGAGAACUCCACUGAUCCACAGCUGUCUGUGACUUGGAACACCUUGUAUGCAGCAUGCCUCUCCCACUGCCUCAUCACAGCUGAGUAAAACAGCAGAAACAAGCCCGGUGCUGCCUGACCAAGUUACAAAAUUGUUAAAAAGCCACGUGUGUUACACAGAGCAUUUUAGUUGAUAGAACAGUGCCUAAACGACUGCAAAGCUAACACUAUGUAUGAAGUUUGAACUGAAAUAUCAGGAGUGUUUUUUCUCUUGAAAGUGGACUACAUAAAAGAACAACAUGAAGGUAUAAUGGUGUAUGGGCUCUGCUGUCGUCAUGACCAGCUGGACUCUGUCUCUCAAGGACUAAUCUCUCUUGGGUUAGGUUCUCCGUGGACUUUGGCAUGUGAGUGUACGAGGAGUUGUCUACUAUGUGUAAAGUUCUAGCAGCUGUUGGCUUUUCCACUUUGCUUGUUAAAAGAUUAUUAGCCUCUUCCUGUUCUGUCCUCUGUAUUCACACUCGUUGGAGUGCACAUUCCUCAUGUAACAAGCUUCCUAUAAUCAUCUAAAAGCCACCUGAGAAAGGUCCUGGAAUGAUCUGGAAGCAGGUGCUGGAAUCAAGCUUACAUUGCUGAUAACCUGCCUCUCUAACUCUGUCAUAAGUUGUUUUACUAGCCAUUGAUCUGCAAAGAAUCCUUCCAUUGUCAACAAACUCUACAUCCUCCCGUGAACUUUCAAGCUCACCUAAAUCCAAGAUGGAGGUGUAAUACUCAGGCAGUCUGGAAAUUGAGGGGAAACAACAUCCUUCUGAUCCCUGCCCAGGAGAUGUUUCCAACAUGAGCUUCAGAAAGUGAUCAAAGCAUUUUCCUUGAGACAUCAAAUAAAGAAGCAAAUGAGAUGGCUUCAGUGGGAUACCUAUCUCCCAGAUUAUCCUGGCACUGAUGAAAUCUGUUCUGCCUUUUCUAGAGCCACUUCAAAAAGUUUCAAGCUUUCAAGGUUGGAGUUGCUAGAGCAAAGCUUGGAUUAAUGCCUUAGAAAAAACCAUGGAAUAUGCAAAGACAGGAGAGGGCCGGAGCAACUGGAAAACAAACUCAUUAGUUAAUCAGGGAUUCCUUCCAUCCCUCUUCAGCCCUGCACCCAGGGCGUGCACUGGGGAUGCAUGCCCUGAUAUGCCAGCCUGAGAGUGCUGAGAAUUAAGCAGUCUCACAGGUGGCUGGUGUUCAAAGGAAACUGGGGUGUGACAGCCUUCCCAUCCCAGUUUUCAGGAUCUCUGGGCACACAGCUACAACUCUGAAAAUUAUAAAUAUGAAUGAUUUAUAUUUCCUGUAAAAUGGUUCUCUUUUUUUUUUAAAGCAACAACCAACUAAAAAAUCCCAAACCAACCAACAAACAACAACAACAACCUUGGCGAUUCUAUGAUUCUAUGAUUCUAUGAUUCUAUGAUUCUAUGAUAAAAGACAACAAAACCCAACAAAUAGCAAAAAAGUGGAGCAGGCCUGUACUUUCCCCGUACAACACUAAUUAAGAAGAAGUUGGAGAUCAUGUUUGAAUGGACUUUUCUUUUGCUCUGUCCUACUCUCCAUAAGUAGCCUGCCAGAGGAGUAGCCUGGUGAUAAAAUACUUCUGCAGAGGAAGAAUGAGACACAGAUGAGAGCCUGGCUUUCAUGGCAGGAGAUGGGCUGGUGGCUGGGUGGGAUAGAGGCAGGGUCAGUUCAUGAAUUGUCUGUGCUGACAGCCCCAGGGUUAACAGCUGGGACUGUGUGUCUAGCAGAUGAUGGAGUCACUGCUUAGCACUUUGUCCUCCUAUAGCUCAUUGGCAUUGAUACAAAAACAAACAAACAAACAAAAAACAAAAAAACAUGUAAAGCAGCUGUUUAAGAAUAAAAUGAUAUAAACGUGCAGUGUUGGCUUGGCAUCGUGGAUGUCAUCCCUAGCCAGUUCCUCCACAGGUUUUUGCUUGGUAAAUUGCAUCUCCACAUUUGUCUGCUAAUCAGAGGAGGAGGAAAGGAGGAUGAUAGUCACUGUUGUCUCUCAACCAGGUAGUUGUCUGUGUAUUGCUCUGGAGAAGCUUUGGUCAUGCUAUGUGAGGUGAGUGCCAAACCACCUAUUUCUGGCAGUGCUUAUAGAACAGGUUAACAAAAUGGUAAGCCAAGUUUGAGAUGUACCUGAAGAAGAGGCAGGCUGGGAAGGGUUUGCUGGCAUGUAUAGCAUGAGAAGGUGCUUCUUCUGCACUGUUUUAAGGAUCACAUAGUGUUUUCUGGAAGGUUAUAAGCUAGGCAGUCUGGAAAAGCUAAAGGUGCGGUCAGGGAUGGAAGAUACUUUGGCUUCAAGAGAAUCAGAUUAUUAGGAUCCCGUGUUCACUAGGGAAAACCUGGCUACUAGUUCUCCUAGCAGCAUUCAUGCUUUUCAAAAAUAAAUAGUCAAUUUGUUAUAAUUUGGAAGUACUCUUGGAAGUGAGGACUGAGAAUCAUGGCAACUUUCAUUAUUCAAGGAAAUCUCUGUGAUAAGCACUGAAGAGUUAGAGGAGAUAAAUCAGAUUGUGCAUACUACACGUGAAUAAAGCAAGUUUCAUUAAGACUGAUGGCUCUAGCUUCUAUCAUCAGUAUAUCUUGCAAAGCAUUCUCUAGUAAAAAAAAAAAGUCUUAAAAAAUUAAAAGGCUUUGAUUUCUGUUCAGGGUUAUUUGGAGGGCAGGAAGUAGGCUAGAGCAUGUUAGGCUGGACUACAGUAAUGCUUAGUUUCAAUUUUAUGUAAAACUGGUGAUCCACAUGCUUCUUGUCUUCUGCUUCAUUCUUUGUCGCUUAAUUGUUAAACUGAUGAAAGGCAUGUCUGUUCUCAGAAUGCCAAUACUACUGAAAAGGAAAAGUUUAGGAACAGUAAAGUAAAAACAGGCUCGUUGACUUCUGAAAGGAAGACAAGUGCUGAAGACAAAUACUUGUUAAGACGUAUGCAACUUGUUCACUCUAUCUACCCAUGAGUGGGAGAAAAACUGGCAUGGUUCCCACACCAAGUGCUUCUAGUGUUUCAGUUAAAGCUUGAUGUGAUCUGUCAGCUGCAGAAUAUGUUAGCGCUGGCUUUUGCAGAUAUUUAUCCUUUUUUAACACUUUCUGCCUAUGCAUGCAGAUGUCAAAAGGUGUCCUUCCCUCACUGUUUGAAGCUACUUGCUGUAGGAUGGGAAAGAAAGCGCUCUGCUCCUCAUCAGCAUCAAAAGCACAUGGUCACAGCUCAUGGAAAGGUAAUUAAUUACUCUGCAGAGGUAGAGCCUAAGGAAAGGUGUUGCAUACUCUGUCUCAUGUAAUAGGUAUUUUGUCCCAUGCAAUCUGAUCACCUUUCCUCCUUUUCAAUAGUUGAUGAGGACUUUGUUUUCUUUCUCCUUUCUAUGCAAUCUGGAAUACAACCAAAUUUUUGUCCUUGUAGGAGCAUGAGUAGAGAUUGAUUUUUGAGAUAUGUACUUCUGAAUAAAGUAUGCAAAAAGAGUAGGACCAUUAGGAGGGCCGAUAUUGAAAGGUGAUUGAUUUGGUCUACAGACUGAUAAACUGCUAAGUGUGAUGCUAAUAGAAUCCAAUGGCAUGCACCACAGCAGUCAAACAGUUAAAUGCUGCAGCUUAGUGCCAUGGUCACUUAGUACUGUCUCUAUAAUUCAUGUGGUGACUACCCACAGAGAACUACUACUACUAAGAGUCCCUCUCUGACAUGAGAAAAAGAGCAUGCAGAUACAAUCAUUUUUUUCACUAUGAGAUCAUUUCCCUCUUAUGAUAAAGUAAUGCUCUACAGUUUCGUGAAAUAAUACUCCACUGUUUCACAAAGUAAAAUGUUAUUAAGGGAUAUGACGUACUAGAAACCAGAAGGAUUGUUUGUGAUACCUGUAUAUUAUUUCUGGUGGAUGCUCAAGUGAAACAGGUCAGUAAGCAAAAAUAUUCUGAACUCUGAAACUCUGAAUAGGUAUUGAUUAAUACUGGGAGCUGUAGAGCACCUUUAUUUUUGAAUUGAAGUGAAUAACUGUACAUCUCAACACCCCAUCUUAUUCCAGAUGCUUUGAUAGAACAAAAACUGAACUGAGAAGAAAAAAGAUUUUCUCAAUAAGUAGGCUUUUUGCUUUUGACCACCAACUCCACUGUAGAAUUCAGUUUUGAUCAUAACUAAAAUCACGCGUGGGAUGUCUUAAAUAUAUUUUUCAAUAUAAUGAAAAUUCUGAGUAGGUCUUUAACCAAGAAAGAUACCUAAAUUGAGCAACUUGCAAAAAUGAGACUAUAUCCUCAUUCCCAUUUCUAAAACUAUGAAUGCCUGCCAGAGCUUAUCUUCAAUCUCCUAAUUUAGGUAGGAGGAGCCCACUCAGUGUUUGAGAGAGCCAUGUUACAUAAUGCUUGUUUGAUGUAACAGAUUUUGGUCAAUACAUACCAGCUGAAACUUGGCAGUCUGGGGAGGCAGUGUUGAUAAAUUCUGUGUGGACAUGUUUACCUUCUUGUUAGCUACAAAACAUGUUCAGGGGAUUACAUCAAAUACUGUGCUCUGAUAAAUGCAGCUGUAUUUGAAAAUUUAAAUGGCUGACAUUUACGCAACAAAUUUGCACACUGCAGCAGGUAAUUGGCAGAAGCCAAUUUAAUGGAUGCCCAGUUUAAUGUGGUCAUUAUAAAGCAUACACUGUGUACUUUCAGAAUUUUUAUUAAUUAUGUCUAUAGAUGAUGUUUCUUUGAGAUCAUAACAGUGUGGCUUCCUGUGUCAUGGAGCUUAUUAACUUGUAUUCUGAAAUAUUAUGUGCUUCAUAAAUGGACUAGAUGACUUUCUGUAGUACUUUGACAUCUACUAAUUCCUUCCAAAUGGAACAGGCUUCCCUAAUGUGCCAAGCAUUAUUCAGAUAUUUGUAAAAUGGUUUGCUUUCUUGUAGCACUAGGUCAUGCAAUAAUGUGGUAGUUAUUGGAGGUAGCUCUGGGAAGCAUCUUUCAGAAUAAAGAAUACAGGCAAAACAUACUGUCUAAAUACCACAAAGCUGAACUUCAGCAUCUUAAAAAAAAAAAGAAAAAAAAGUUUCACUUUCUGUUUUGAGAGUAUUCUGUUAUGCCUUUCAUAUAAUUAAUAUUUUUACAUUAUUCUAGAGUUUUAAAUCAGUUACCAAUAUGCAACCAAUACUGCUAAAGUACUAGCAAUAUUUUGUGUGUAGUCUUAGACUACAAAACAUCUACAGUAUUUACUUUACCCUUCAAGCUUCUUCCUUGUUAGUAACAGGAUUAUAUUAGAAAUCAAACACAUCCCAUUACCCUUUUCUCUGCCAAAAACAGAUAUUAGUUUUCAUGGUCAGGAGAAAAAAAAUAAAUUCAAAGGCUCAAUAGAAUUAAUAACAUCAGUUACAAAGGAAAUUUCCAAACCUUAGAACUGUAAUCAACUUAAUCCAAUUUUGGAAAUGUUUCAUAGUUGAUAAUACUUUACUAUAAAGAGCUUAUUUAGAUCCAGUUAGUACUUGGCUUGUAAGAAAAUAUGUUGUGCAGAGUCUUUCCAUACAAGAUACACAAGAUACUACCCUAGCACGAAGUGUCCUGCAGUCUCACUAGUGUUUCACCUUCAUACUCCAGCAUACCAGGUGGUUUACUUGACUGAUGGAAGCAACUUUUGUGGAAAUAAGAAGCUGGGUGAAAGAGAUACGAUUCCAUGACUGAAGAAGAGACUUUAAUAUGAAAUGAUGCUUUGUUGUGCACCAGAAAAUCAACAUGAAAGGGAGAAUUAUGAAACCUGGCAGUUUGCAGCCAACCCAAUGCACAAAGAAAACCACAUAUAGUUCAGUCCUGGUCCACCUGCUUCUGUUUUCUCCGUGUGGCAUUGUACAACUGCUAUAUACAGAAGCAAAUCUUGGCAGUAUUUGUGAAGUGUCCUAGAAGAAUCAUACGAUUCUGCUUGAUGGUUUCUCCUGACAGAGUAGAACCAGAAAUCAUUUGCCCUUUUCUAAACAGGAAAGGUCAAAAGUGAAUGACAUUAUAGUGCUCUCAUGAUUUCGUGUCCAGGUCUGUAUUGCCCUGAGGAAUUAUUAUAGAUAACAUUUAUGAGCGUGUAUCUGUAUCUAUGUGCAUGUGUGGAUAAUGCAUGUAUGAAUUUAGCAGAGUUUAAAAGGAGUUGCUGUUGAAAUAGUCUUUUCUUGAGCACCUUUUAAGCCUUCAGGUCUCACCAAACAGUUAAUAUGGGGGUUUGAAAAAUGUACUAAAAAAGCAUCUUUGUAGACAUAAAUGCUUUAAAGAUUUGCUCACUGAAGGCUUUUGAAAUGGCUGGUCUGCAGAGCACUUGUUCAUGUCCUUAGGACAGCUGGCUGAUGGUGUUGUGCAGGCACAGCUUCAGACACUGAGUUUACAGAAUAGUAUAUCAAGUGGUUCUGCAGGCUAGAUGUGGAUCUUAUGUGAUCUGCAGAUGAAGGUGGUGAGCUCUGUUGGGGUACAGUCCCUGUGAUAAAAACAUUUGAGUACCUCCAUCCUAAUAUUAAAUAAGGACAAUCCCCUAGCCUCAGUGAAAGUACAGCCAUCCAAGGGUUUUUCCUUAAUAAAAAAGCAAGAGAUCAAACCUAAAUAAGCCAUUAAUUUUGUGUGAUUUUUACUUGCACUUUUUCAUGUCUACUCUCAGGACUGUUUGUGUUUUGUUAUUAUUAUUCAAUAGACAUACUUCAUUUUCUUCAGAGGUGUGGCAUGAUAUCAUUGUGGUCUAAUAAAUGAAAUCAUUUUGAAUAGAUUUUCAUCAACAUAAUUUGUGCAGUUUGUUUUGUGCAAAUAAAAUUCCAAGAUGCUGAGUUCCUGCCUGUGUAGUCACAUCUGCAUGGUGUAGUAUUUUUCAGUGCUUCAACUUGAAAACUGGAGGCAUAACAUAAGGCCAGAGUUUCUGUAGGUCAGCUCUUCAAUUCUGAACUCGUCACUAGAGAAAGAACAGAGAUAGAAGAAUAGCAAGAGGUAGAAUAAAUAACUCCAGGGAACAUUAUUUUGAGAGAAAGUCAAACACUACUGUGACAGGUAGCUAGAAGAAGUAGGGUAGUCAUGUACAAGUUCCGUGUAUUGCACAUGCUUGACAAGUCAGGGUUCUUGGUAGGGAUUCUUGAGCUGAGUGAGGAUGGGUCAUUGUCCUGCUGACUCUUGGCUCUGUUCCUCCAAGUUCUCAUCAAACAGGAAAGAAUUUCCCUCCUUCUCUGACAAGCUUCCUCUUUAUAAGGGAUUAAAGAACAGAGAAUUUUACUGAGAAAAAAAAAGGUAUAAACAAAAGUUUUUCAGUACUUCAUCCUCAUUGACCAGAGUUGCUUAUAUAUGUUUAGCUUAUUUCACACACACACACACACACACACACGCAUGCACACACACACAAAAAAAAGGAUUAUUUUCAUCUUUGACAUAAGAUCAGCAUCUCUCCGUAUGAGUUCUUGGGAGAAAGGUGACAAGCUGUCAGUGAUAGUUAAAAAUUUUGUUUGUGUUCAAAAGAUAUAGGAGGGAAGGAUACAAAUUGAGUAGCAAAGACUUCCAGGAAAGAGGCAGUAAAGACAUGAAACAGCAAGUAUAAAGAAAAAAAUCUUAAAUUGUCAAAGACCACACAUCUGUUUGGAGAUACAGAUUUCUGUCACAUCUCUGAUUUCAGCCAAGUCUUUCCCUUCUCAAACUAUUCUGGGAUCUACAUUUGAGAAUGUAGAGAUUAGAAGUGUUUGACAAUUCCAUUAUUUCAUUCAGAAAUGAAAAAAAAAAUGCUAUUAAAUGAAUUAUAUAAUAUCUGUGUCUUUUUUACAACCUUAAUUAGUGUAACCAUAAUAUUUUUAUAUAUUCAUCUUGUUCACUUUCUGUUCCCACUGUCCUUUCUUCCCAUUUUUUAAACUGGGGAAUCUCAUGCACCCUUGCGUAAAAUAUGUACAGAAUUUUUUUACAAAUUAUAUUAACAUAUUCCUUUUAAAUUGUUUGUGAAGUGCAGUCUUCUAGACUUCAUGUGAACAGUGUUAAUUUCAGCUGGGUGUUGGUUGUUUGAUUUUAUUCUGUCACUGGCUUGGAAAUAAUGGUUGUAGGAAGGAAGAGGGAGAAGGGAAAGAGAGAAAUUUGGGAUCCUCAACUGCAGACUAGUCAAGUAAUUCAAAUUUUCAAAUAAAUGCUGAAAUAAAAAAUUCCAAAUACCUAUUAAGAACAUGGAAGAACAAAAAUACAUGAAUUGCAGUCACCAAGUCAUGUCAAACCAAUCUUAUCUCCUUCUUUCAGAGGAUAACAGGUCUUUUGGACAGACAGGAAGCAGUAAAUUCUAUCUGCCUUGUCAUUAUUAGAGAUUCUGGUAUUGUUUCGUAUGACAUUCAUACAGUAAAUGGACUAGAGAGAUACGGCCAAGUUAAUAUACAAACUAGCUGGAUGCAAGACCUCAAGUUCAAUUUUAAACAACCUUCCACUGAGAAUACUGUCUAAAAAGUAGAAUUGAUAUUGGGGCCCUAGCAAGGGUCUUUUCUGGGUUUAAUACUUACCUGUAUUUUCUUCAGUCGGUUAAGUGAUAGUGUGCUAUGGAGUUCUCAGAUGCUGUGGAACUAGAAGGGGUUUAUGCCCAUGUAGUCACGUCUGCAUGGUGUAGUAUUUUAUAUAUAUAUAUAUAUAAUUUAUAUAUUUAUAACAUAAUAUAAUGUAUAUUAAUAUAAUAUUAUUAUAUAUAUUAAUAUAAUAUAUAUAUAUAAUAAUGUAAUGUAUUAUAUAUGAUUAUAUGAUUAUAUAAUAUAUAUAAUAUAAUAUAUUAUGUUAUAUAAUAAUAUUUAUAAUAUAAUAUAUUAAUAUUAUAUAUAUAUAUAUAUAAGGGGCAUGCUGAAGGACAGUGAAUACUGAAAAUCAUCUCGAUGGCCAGUGGUGGUUUGUAGGGCAGAUGAAGGGGGAGAUGUACGAAACAUUUCAAUAGGAAGAUGUACAAGAUCUGCACCUAGCAGGAGUAAGCCAAUGCAAAAACAUAAUACAAAUGUUCAAAUGUGAUUCUAAAGGAAGCAAUGAAUGUCUUUUUCUGUACCAUCUCUUUUUGUUGUUUUCUCCUUACAUAGAGUGCAUAGAGUGUUUCUUUUUUUCCUGUAUGUUCUUUGCCUGUUAGAUCUGUCUUUGUACCUUGGCUAGCCUCAUUCUGUCCUUACUGCUUCAAAACUUUUUUUGCUCCUCAUUCAUUUCCUGAUGUAUAUUUUCUUCAAGUGUUCAUGUUACUGAGGAUCCGUGACUUUGUCCAGUUAAUCUGUUUUUAAGUUUUCUCAUUCUUCCUUUUAGAUGGAGAUAUUUUUUUAUUUUUUUAAAUUUCUUUAUUAUUUUUUUUCUGUAAAGACACAUAAUACUUUUCUUCCAGUGAAAUAUCAAUUCCUCAAACAUUGUAUCUUAUAUCUUAAUAUCCACUGUUCUUUUUUGUCCUAUUUUUUUUUUUAAUAGAAAUACUAAACUAUAAUGUAAUGAUUCUACUGCUUGACUUACCUUUACACAACUGGUUCUCCUGGAAGUGUUGCUGUAGGUCUCCUUCUCUAGCUGGUUUCAUCACCUUCCCUAAUCUCGGCUUCCCAAAUCAAUAGUAGGAUUUGCUUGCCUGCCCAGCUCUAGGAGAAAGACUUCCAGACAGCUUUAUGGGUAACUUCUCUGAUAAACGAUGAGCUGUUUAUCUUCACCUUUACCUGGACACUUCCAGCUGAGUAUCUUCCAUUAUCCAUGUGUAGCUGGGGUGGCACAGAGCAGUAGCAUAUCUGUUCUCCCAGCCCAGCCAAUCUAUUACUCCAUCCAUUCUUAGCUGCACUAGUUGGCAUAGAUAGUUCUUGUAUUCAGUUUCCCACAUUUCUUUCACUGGUACAGACGUGUAAAGUGUAGAUGGAUUGUUUGGUUUUGAUUUCUUGACUGGGACCUUGUAUGACUUGUUCUAUUAGCAGAGGAAAAAAAAAAAAAAGAGCAGAUAUAAUUGGCAGAUCAUCAGGAAAGAUAUUUCCCAUGAAGAAAGGAAAUACUAGUGGUAAGGCACUAUUGAAACACAAAUCUAGAAGAAGGGUCAGGAAGAAUAAAUGCUGACGUGAACCAGUGCAGACACUUGUCAUUAUGGGGACGGAAAUCCUCUGGUGCAAAAAGAAGCUAAGAGGCUGAUCAGCCUAGCAAAAUAAAGGCAAAGGGGUUGUUAUUCAUAGACAAAUCUAGAGGCUGAACACAAUGGUAGAGAGCUGGAUAAGCUAAAGGAUGACUGAUGCUGGUACAAAUGCGUGUAAAUAGCUUGCAAAUAACUUCAGGCUAGACACUGGAAGAUGGCUGUUAAAAAGGGAGAAAACAAAUUUCUGGAGCAGCUUCUAUUAGGAGAAGUGUUUAGGCUGUAGUAAGUCAUAGAUAAAAAGAUCCAAAGUGUAACAACAUGAAAAUGCUUAAACAGCCUCCUCUGGCUAGGAGGUUGCAGCAGACAUGGUAAGAACACCCAGUAGUACCUCUCAAUUCUCUGCUUCAGAAAAGACUUAAUACAUUAAAUUCUGUCUCACAUGCUCCCCCCCCCUCCCCUUUUUUUUUUUUUUUUUUUUUUUAGACAAACAUUCAUGCUGUUCUUGGUGGUGUGUAGCAAUGGGACAAGGAGUAAUGGCUUAAAAUUUGAACAUAGGAAUUUCCAUACGAAUAUGUGGAAGAACUUGCUAACAUUAAGGGUGAUGUAGCAGUGGAAAAGGUUGUCCAGAGAGGUGGUGGAGUCUCCUUCCCUGAAGGUAUUCAGGAUCCAUCUGGACGCCUACCUGUGCGGCCUAUUGUGGGGAACCUGCUUUAGCAAUGGGGUUGGACUCAAUGAUUUCCUGAGGUCCCUUCCAACCCCUGUGGUUCUGCAAGUCCUGUAUCGCCUAUGUAAUUAUCAGUAGAGAUUGAUUUAACAAAGCUGCACAAAUCUACCUGACAUGGUUUUUUGAAGCUACCAGAUAAAAAGAUAAGUUUACAGAAGAGAGAAGUGACUCUUUGGUUUUAAGCAUUAUCUAAAGGGCCGAGUGGUAACUGUCUGUUAUGUUUACUCUUUGUGUCCAAGGAUUGAUUACUCAUCUAAAAGUCAAUGGUUGCCUAGUGACAAGCAAUUAUGCUCUAAUUUGAUUUCUUGUGUACACAUGAGACAUUGUCUUGGCCCAGAGCUGUGGAGUUUUCAAUAAGACAUAUCCAUGGGUUUUGGCAUUUCUGUAAUAAGCCUCCUGCACAUUUUGGUUAAUAUUUGGGAGAUUUUGCAUGAUGUUACUUGUUUUUAUGUUCAAGGGUAGAAUAUGGAGGCACUUCUUUGUUUGAUUGUUUUGGCUUGUUUUUUUGUUGUUGUUGUUGUUGUUGUUUGUUUGUUUUGUUUGUUCUAAUGCCAUAAUAUAUAUAUUUUUAAAAUUGUCAAAUAAAAAUAAAACAUAAAAAAAUAAAAACCUCUGCUGAACUCUGACAGUCUGGGCAGCACUGACACUGGCAGUAUGAGUUGUCGGCACUCAUUUGUUUCAGUUCGUUGAAACAUGAGGGGAGAUUCCUGGUGGAUGUGAAUUUACUGAUUGUGAGUUGCUUCAGAAUACUGAAAUAAGACACUGGAAACACAAGUCAAAAAAAAAACUGUAGUGCAAUCAAGUUUUAGUUUACAAAGCUCUGAUGGUGCUUCUGCAGAUUCUUGCUAUUACAAAUCAUAUUCUUUUCAAAGAGUAAUUGUUGUUCUGAAAAUGGAAGUGAAUAUGAAAUACAUAGCAAAAGAAAGAGAAGUUUACGAGGGUGGAUAGCGAUAGGACAAGGGGGAAUGGUUUUAAACUGAGACAGGGGAGGUUUAGGUUAGAUAUUAGGAGGAAGUUUUUCACACAGGGGGUGGUGACACACUGGAACAGGUUGCCCAUGGAGGUUGUGGAUGCCCCAUCCCUGGAGGCAUUCAAGGCCAGGCUGGAUGUGGCUCUGGGCAGCCUGGUCUGGUGGUUGGCAACCCUGCACAUAGCAGGGGGUUGGAACUCGAUGGUCAUUGUGAUCCUUUUCAACCCAGGCCAUUCUAUGAUUCUAUGAUUUUUUAGGUUUUCAACAGCAUUUCUCUUUGGAAACUCAGAAGUAACUAGAAGAAAUCUAACUUUCUUUUACCACAUAAUCUCUGCCAUCUCUACCUCUGGUGUUGUGUAUAUUUUCUAUAACAUAUUUAUCUUCACGAAAACAAGAAACGAGUUUCUGACAUAAUCACCAUACAUCUACAGAACCAGAGCAAGGACUCAUUCAAAUGAUUUUAUUGUACAUGUAAAAUAAAUGCAUUCCCUCAGAAUGUGCUCAGAACAUGAGAAGAGAGAUUCAAGAUAACCAAAUUGGCAGAAUUCUGAAGUUUUCUUCUAAUAAUUCUUUUUGAUAAAAAAGUUUGAUAAUGUCCUAGUCCCUGAAGAAAAAUGAAAACCUGAAAUUUGUAUUGAGCCCACAGAAGGUAGGAAAAUAUCAAACUACAUGAUGUUCUGCCCACAAUCUCCACUACAGGUUUAAAUCUGAAGCCUUGUCUAUGAGAGGAAGUUGUAUCUAUCUGUUAGCUAACUAAGGAGGUCCAUACCACGGAUGACUGGAUCUGAUGCUUAAGAAGGGUUAAAACAUAUAACAGAAAGUUAUGAAGGAAAGGUCAUGUGAGGAAAACAUCAAGGUUUAGGCCACUGAUAAAAAACCAAGGAGAACAAGCCAUAGAUAGAUUAAAAGAGGGAAAGAAAUCUGUUCUAGUUAGUGAGAUCAGUGAACAAGUUGCAUACCAUCUGUAAUAUAGGGAUAGAAAUAACUCACAGAAUAUGUGUUGGUCCAAGGAAUAAUCUUUUGGACUGACUCUGGAAGUACGGUUUUACCAGUGGUAAAGAAGAUUUAGUGAGAUUGAAAUAGUGAAUUUUCAUGUAAUGACAAGAAGAAUAAUGGUAAGGAGGAUGGUGAUGCUGAUCCUUCCUGCUGUCUGCCUGGCUGCAGAAUCACUAUUAGAAAACAUUGGACACUGUCACACAGUGUUGGCAGCUGUCACAUCUGUACCCCUUACCAGAGGGAAAACCACAGCUGCAUGGAUAUUGACAGCAUUCACUUAGAAAUAACAAAAUUAGAAAAGCUUUGGAACAGAUGACUUAAAUGUUAGAUGAAAGUCAGUAUUUACAACAGAUGAGAUUAAAUGAAGAGUCACACUUGCAAAGGACGAUAUUCUAUCGAAGCAUAUGUUAAAAUAUAUAAAUAUAUUUCACCUGGCAAUAUGUUGUGUUUCACCGAAGUAGCUGAGUGGGCAAGAGAGUUUAUAACAUAAGCUGGAAGGAUGCCUGCUCUGCUAUCUGAUUUGACGACAAUAGAAGAGGGGGAAUGAGUUGCAGAUCCCUGAAGAGGGGCAGUGGGAGCACUUUUUCCUUGCCAUUUCAUCCUGGAAAGGAAAGGGAAAGUGAAAGAACAAGAAACCGAGUGAAGGAGAAAUAGAAGAAAUGGCAGAUAAAUCCCUGAACAAGCAGAUAGACCUCUGAGAAAGCAUUAAACAGCUGCAAACAUGUUUUACAGUGAACCAUAUCUAGAGUGAAGAAAAUGAAGGGAAAUUGCCCAUAUUCUGUAGUGGAAUCUUGUUGGACUGCAAAUAACAUUUGAGGAUAAUACAUAACAGAUGGUGGCUUAAUCGGAAGGGAAGCAGGAGGAAAUUUACAGUGUAUAAACUGUUCUGUGAAAUAUCAGAGCAAAAGAAAGCAUUGAAGGAAUUAGCAGGCGCUAGGAAAUUAUGGAGAAAGUUAAAAAGCUUUGUCCUGCUUGAGGUAACUGAUCAUCUCCUAUGACUGGGUAUGCUCAUGGCGUGGAAAGAGCAUAUGCACUGAUACUAAUAAAAGAAAAGGGACAAAAUGUACAGUGAAAUAGAUGAGGUUAGCAUAGGUUCAAGGUCAAAACACAAGCAGCCAGUAAAGCAAUGAGAAACAAAAUGACGCGAAAGCCUGUCCUUGUCUUCCUUUCUGCAAUACAUUUCAACGGUUUGUAGAAGAAUGGAUAUUCUGAAAAAGAAAACAUGAAACUAAGAAAUCUGAUGGGAAAGAGGCCAGAAUAAUUUAAAUUUAGAUAUGGAGAUAAUAUCUAGGAGGCUGUUCAUUUGGCAAAAUAAAACUUUAUGUAAUCAGUUAGAUUGAACUUCAAAACAAGAAGAACCAUUAAGCUGGAGUAAAGCAGCAAACAAACAAACAAACAAACAAAAUUUAAUACAAUGAAUUCCUUACAUCUGUAGCUGAGAAUAUUUUCCUGCAUCUGUUGUAUUCAUUUCAGCAGCUAUUUAUCUGAAUGUAGAAGGAAAUUGGUAAGUUCCAUAAUUUGUUAUUAAUACAUAACUCAUACAUUUUAAUAGAUCUGUAUUUACUUCACUGCAUCUGUGGUAUCAUUCUAGCUGUAAAUGUCCCUGUUCAUUGCAGAGGAGUUGGAUUAGAUGACCUUUACAGGUCCCUUCUAACUCAAAUGAUUCCAUGAUUCUAUGAUCCUAUUGUAUGGGAACUGUUGAAUCACGGCCUGAACCUCUGAUUGACCACCUGAGGCCAGCGCUAAGUUAGCCGCAGGAGCGUAGGUGAAGGCAAUUCACCUAUGUGACCAGAAGGGGUGGAGCCUGGCUCCACCUCUCCUAGACCCCAUUUAAGGGCUAGUGGACUGCCACUGAGGAAGGAUCUCUUUCUGGAGAUUACUCCUCUUGGACUUUUCUUGUGAACCUAUGAUACAGGUGAGCACUUUCCAUUUGUUUCAGAUUAUUCCUUUCCAACAUGAUAAUCUUUCUAGCUUUACCAUCAGUGGAUACCAGUCUACCCACACUAUUCUGUGUAUUUUUGAUUAUACGUUACCAUUCUGUAUAUUUGUUGGCUAUACACCUAUGAUCUACAGAACUCCUGGUAAUAUCAAGUAAUAUUGUGUUAAUACUGGUGGUGCAAACAUAUUAGAGAUGAUAUAAACUUCCAAACAAUGAAGCCUUGAAAACUAAGCAGCUAAGAUUCUAAGUUUAAUGGUGUUAGACUCGUCCUGUAGGCUCCUCUAGAACCUAGAGUUAACUUUUUCCUAUUGGAAUGCCAAAUAG